AUGACUAACUUUGAUGCCUCCCUGAUUGCUUCGGUGACUCGUGAGACACAGGGAGAGCAGGAACGGAAAUGGUUGGAUGCUAGCAUUCCGUUGAAUAUUUGCUUGAGACAACAACAACUCAGUGGAUGCAUACGAGCUGUUCGACGAAAUGCUCAGGAGACAAGCCAAGUUGGCACUUGCUAUAUAAUGAUUCUACACCUAACUGAGGCCUUGUCAGUGCAAGUAGAUGAGGACAACCAUACUAUAUUAUGGAUCAAUAAACUAAACAGACUGAACGACUUCAAGUGCAUCAAUGAUUGUCCUUUCCUGGCUAAUUUCAUACUAAUGGAAUCCGAUGCAAAUACUGUAAGAAAUUGA
rnacentral:rRNA from 1 species